rnacentral:rRNA from 1 species
CCCUGCCAUUUGUACACACCGCCCGUCGCUCCUACCGAUACCGGGUGAUCAGGUGAACCUUUUGGACCGAAAGGGAAGAUAAGUAAACCUGUUCACCUAGAGGAAGGAGAAGUCGUAACAAGGUUUCCGUAGGU